rnacentral:rRNA from 1 species
CGCGUAGGCGGCUUACCAAGUCAGGGGUGAAAUUUUGCGGCUUAACCGUAACAGUGCCUUUGAUACUGGUAGGCUCGAGGGGGACAGGGGUCCGCGGAACUUCUGGUGGAGCGGUGAAAUGCGUUGAUAUCAGAAGGAACGCCGGUGGCGAAAGCGGCGGACUGGAUCCUUUCUGACGCUGAGGCGCGAAAGCUAGGGGAGCAAACG